CUGUUUGAAGGUGUAUGGUCUGUCCUCUCUGUGGAGGCUGUUCAGAGGGAAGAAAUGGAACGUCCUCAGACAGAGAGUAGACUCCUGCUCUUAUGACCUGGACCAGUUGUUUAUCGGGACGUUGCUGUUCACCAUCCUGCUGUUCCUCCUGCCAACCACAGCUCUAUACUACCUAGUCUUUACCAUGCUCCGCCUUGUGGUAGUAAUGUUCCAGGGAGUUCUCCACCUCAGUGUUGACUUCAUCAACUCCUUCCCUCUGUUUGCCAUGGGCCUCCGAGUCUUCAGAUCCUACAGACUGGCAGGUGGG